AGAGCGAACGCUGGCGGCGUGCUUAACACAUGCAAGUCGAACGAGGUCUGUAGCAAUACAGAUACUCGUGGCGAACGGGUGCGUAACACGUGGAUAACCUUCCUUCAGGUGGGGAAUAACCCAGUGAAAAUUGGGCUAAUACCGCAUAACAUGACGAUGCCACAUGGUGUUGUCUUCAAAGGCGCAAGUCGCCAGAAGAGGGAUCCGCGGCCGAUUAGCUAGUUGGCGAGGUAAUGGCUCACCAAGGCAAUGAUCGGUAGCCGGACUGAGAGGUUGGCCGGCCACACUGGAACUGAGACACGGUCCAGACUCCUACGGGAGGCAGCAGUGGGGAAUCUUGCACAAUGGACGAAAGUCUGAUGCAGCAACGCCGCGUGGGGAUGAAGCUUUUCGGAGUGUAAACCCCUUUCGACCCGGAAGAACGCCCGCAAGGGUUUGACGGUACGGGUAUAAGAGCCCCGGCUAACUACGUGCCAGCAGCCGC
rnacentral:rRNA from 1 species